CCUACGGGUGGCAGCAGUGGGGAAUAUUGCACAAUGGGGGAAACCCUGAUGCAGCGACGCCGCGUGAGUGAAGAAGUAUUUAGGUAUGUAAAGCUCUAUCAGCAGGGAAGAAAAUGACGGUACCUGAUGAAGAAGCCCCGGCUAACUACGUUCCAGCAGCCGCGGUUAUACGUAGGGGGCAAGCGUUAUCCGGAUUUACUGGGUGUAAAGGGAGCGGAGACGGCAGCGCAAGUGUGAAGUGAAAUGCCGGGGCUUAACCCCGGAACUGCUUUGGAAACUGGGCAGCUAGAGGGCAGGAAAGGUAAGUGGAAUUCCUAGUGUAGCGGUGAAAUGCGUAGAUAUUAGGAGGAACACCAGUGGCGAAGGCGGCUUACUGGACUGUAACUGACGUUGAGGCUCGAAAGCGUGGGGAGCAAACAGGAUUAGAUACCCGUGUAGUC
rnacentral:rRNA from 1 species